UUUCCGUAGGUGAACCUGCGGAAGGAUCAUUAUUGUAUCACCGAAGUGCGAGAGCUGUCGCUGACCCGACAGGUCCUGCACGCCCGAGUGCCUCCCACACAUCCAUCUCACCCCUCUGAGCCCCGCCGCGGGGGUCCCCCUUUGGCUUUUUCGGAGGGGGGCUUACGGCUUCACACAAACUUUGUAUGAAGUGUAGAAUGUAUUUUUUGGUUUUGCGAUCACGCAAUCAAUACAACUUUCAACAACGGAUCUCUUGGCUCUC
rnacentral:misc_RNA from 1 species